UACGUAGGGGGCUAGCGUUGUCCGGAAUCAUUGGGCGUAAAGAGCGUGUAGGCGGCUCGGUAAGUCCGCUGUGAAAGUCGGGGGCUCAACCCUCGAAUGCCGGUGGAUACUGUCGGGCUAGAGUGCGGAAGAGGCGAGUGGAAUUCCUGGUGUAGCGGUGAAAUGCGCAGAUAUCAGGAGGAACACCGAUUGCGAAGGCAGCUCGCUGGGACGUAACUGACGCUGAGACGCGAAAGCGUGGGGAGCAAACAGG
rnacentral:rRNA from 1 species